rnacentral:ncRNA from 1 species
UUCUUAUCUCGAGAGGUGGAGGGACUGGCCCUAUGAAAUCUCAGCAACCAGCCUGAAGGUCAGGUGCUAAUUCCAGACAGAUAAGAA